CAGCCGCCGCGGGAAUACGAAGGGUGCAAGCGUUAAUCGGAAUUACUGGGCGUAAAGCGUGCGCAGGCGGUUAUAUAAGACAGUUGUGAAAUCCCCGGGCUCAACCUGGGAACUGCAUCUGUGACUGUAUAGCUAGAGUACGGUAGAGGGGGAUGGAAUUCCGCGUGUAGCAGUGAAAUGCGUAGAUAUGCGGAGGAACACCGAUGGCGAAGGCAAUCCCCUGGACCUGUACUGACGCUCAUGCACGAAAGCGUGGGGAGCAAACAGGAUUAGAUACCCCGGUAGUCCCUGUCUCUUAUAA
rnacentral:rRNA from 1 species